rnacentral:rRNA from 1 species
CCCUUAGAUGUUCUGGGCCGCACACGCGCUACACUGAAGGAGGCAGCGUGUACUCCUGGAUCGAAAGAUUUGGGUAACCCGCGAAUCUCCUUCGUGCUAGGGAUUGAGGUUUGCAAUUAUCCUUCAUGAACGAGGAAUUCCCAGUAAGUGCAAGUCAUAAGCUUGCGCUGACUACGUCCCUGCCCUUUGUACACACCGCCCGUCGCACCUACCGAUUGAAUGGUCCGGUGAAAUCUUCGGAUCUGAGAGAUGUCUGAUUAAUUUCGGACGCCUUUUGGAAAAGUUGCUUAAACCUUACCAUUUAGAGGAAGGUGAAGUCGUAACA